UACGGAGGGUGCGAGCGUUAAUCGGAAUUACUGGGCGUAAAGGGCGCGUAGGCGGCUGAUCAAGUCAGGUGUGAAAGCCCACGGCUUAACCGUGUGAAGUGCAUCUGAAACUGGUCGGCUUGAGUAUCGGAGAGGAAAGUGGAAUUCCCGGUGUAGAGGUGAAAUUCGUAGAUAUCAGGAGGAACACCGGUGGCGAAGGCGACUUCCUGGACCAAUACUGACGCUGAGGCGCGAAGGCGUGGGGAGCAAACAGGAUUAGAUACCCUUGUAGU
rnacentral:rRNA from 1 species